UCCCCCAAUGGUCAUUCUGAUUUAUGAAUGCUAUGACUAUUUGUUGGAUGAUGGAAUAUACGAAGCUAUUGCAGGAAGUGAUUUUGUCAUUACUAGCUAGAGUUGCAUUUCGAGACAACUCUUAAAAGUACUACAUAAAUGACCAUGGAAGUAAUUUUACAGAGGUCACUAAGAAAUUGAAAGGAAAAGGAGUGGACUUGGACAACAAUCGGUUUUUGAUUCUUCAGGGUGAAGUCGAGCAAAUUUCUCUAAUGAAGCUAAAGAUUUGUAUUUUCAGCAUUAUUGUAAUUAUAAUUGUAAUUGAUUGAAUGAAGGAUUGUAAUUGAUUGUAAUUGUAAUUGAUUGAAUGAAUGAUUGUAAUUGAUUUUAAUUGUAAUUGAUUGAAUGAAGGAUUGUAAUUGAAAGAA